CCUGCUCAGGAUGAACGCUGGCGGCGUGCCUAAUACAUGCAAGUCGAGCGAAUGGAUUAAGAGCUUGCUCUUAUGAAGUUAGCGGCGGACGGGUGAGUAACACGUGGGUAACCUACCCAUAAGACUGGGAUAACUCCGGGAAACCGGGGCUAAUACCGGAUAAUAUUUUGAACUGCAUAGUUCGAAAUUGAAAGGCGGCUUCGGCUGUCACUUAUGGAUGGACCCGCGUCGCAUUAGCUAGUUGGUGAGGUAACGGCUCACCAAGGCGACGAUGCGUAGCCGACCUGAGAGGGUGAUCGGCCACACUGGGACUGAGACACGGCCCAGACUCCUACGGGAGGCAGCAGUAGGGAAUCUUCCGCAAUGGACGAAAGUCUGACGGAGCAACGCCGCGUGAGUGAUGAAGGCUUUCGGGUCGUAAAACUCUGUUGUUAGGGAAGAACAAGUGCUAGUUGAAUAAGCUGGCACCUUGACGGUACCUAACCAGAAAGCCACGGCU
rnacentral:rRNA from 1 species